rnacentral:piRNA from 1 species
UUAUAUGUGUAUAUAAAUACGGACUGAUGCA